GCAGACCCGCAGAGCUGGCUCGCCCGGUGGAGACAAGGCAGCGACUCUCGCCUGGAUUCAGACACCCCAAUUGCUUCAGCUAGCGGAGCCCAAAUGCACAGGAAACUGUUCAAGGUGCCCUGGGAAACAACUUUCUGCAAGACAGUUGGGACCUGGGAUACAACAGCAUUUCAGCAACCAUCAAGGAGGAAGAUUUCCUGCUGACCGGCAAUGUCAGUUACAACGCUUCACACCAUUUUUCUUCCCUGUGUGUGAAAUUACAAAUGCAUGAACUGUGGGAGGAAAAAGUCAGUAGGAUUCAGCUCUUGUUUCUCUGUAUGCUAUCGGAGUAAACCACUGUUCGGUGCUGGAAGCAGAACUGGCAAUUAUUGCAAACUAGUCUCUGUGAAUAUGUUUUCAUCCAACCACCUCCUCUCUAGUGCAGUCUUUAGAAUUUGUUUAAAUUCCUUUGAUGAAGACAGAGAGGAGAAUCUGGUACGUGAUGGGUCCCUCUGAAAUGUGCCAUACAAAGAAAUUCACAACUUUAUAGGCAUGAGCCUUUCCAUUAUAUGUAGUCCAUUGUGGCUUGAGCUGUGGCUGUUAAAGACGUACCAGAUGUUAAGACCAGGGCUAGGAAAUCUGUGGCCCUCCAGAUGUUGUUGGACUCCAGCUUCCGUCAGUCUCGGCCUUCAUGGCCAAUGGUCAGGGAUGAUGGGAGCUAUAGUCCAGCAACAGCUGAGGGUCACAGGCUCCCCAUGCUGGUCUUGGGCUAUGGGAAAUUCAUGUCAUCCCACCUCUAGCCUUGUGUACUCCUGGGACAUCAUGAGUGAGCAACAUUGUGAUUGGUGGGUGGAGUUGCAGGGAAUGCUAUCAGAGUGGAUGUCAUAUUGCAAUGUUAGCUUCUUCUUCUCUCUCUUUUGCUUUCUGCUUGGCUAUAUAGCAAAGUGCUGUGCUGGAUACUUUGCUGUAUAGCAAAGUACAUAGAAUCACUGACUGUUAUUCGCAAACACUGAUAUUUGAUGAAUGGGACAAUUCCAAAAUUUGUUUUGAAACUUUCAUUUGUGAUGAGAAUCCAGGUUUAUCUGUUGUCAGCUACCCUUUUAACAGGAUGAAAAAAGAGAGUUCAAGAUGCAUAGCGUUUUUUUAAUGGACAGAUCAGGGUGUCAAUCUUCAUCCCAUGUAGACUAAGCAAGUUACUUUUAGCCACAAAGAUUGUGAAAAUACUUUUGAAAAAAAAAUUAAAUGGGGAAGAAAAGAAAGAAAUAUGAAAAUAUUUCGAUUUAGUU